CUACGGGGGGCUGCAGUGGGGAAUAUUGCACAAUGGGCGCAAGCCUGAUGCAGCCAUGCCGCGUGUAUGAAGAAGGCCUUCGGGUUGUAAAGUACUUUCAGCGGGGAGGAAGGUAGUAAAGUUAAUACCUUUGCUCAUUGACGUUACCCGCAGAAGAAGCACCGGCUAACUCCGUGCCAGCGGCCGCGGUAAUACGGAGGGUGCAAGCGUUAAUCGGAAUUACUGGGCGUAAAGCGCACGCAGGCGGUUUGUUAAGUCAGAUGUGAAAUCCCCGGGCUCAACCUGGGAACUGCAUCUGAUACUGGCAAGCUUGAGUCUCGUAGAGGGGGGUAGAAUUCCAGGUGUAGCGGUGAAAUGCGUAGAGAUCUGGAGGAAUACCGGUGGCGAAGGCGGCCCCCUGGACGAAGACUGACGCUCAGGUGCGAAAGCGUGGGGAGCAAACAGGAUUAGAUACCCUGUAGUC
rnacentral:rRNA from 1 species